rnacentral:tRNA from 1 species
GGAGAAAUACCCAAGAGGUCGAAGGGGCUCCCCUGCUAAGGGAGUAGGCUGGGCAACCGGCGCGAGGGUUCAAAUCCCUCUUUCUCCGCCA